CUACGGGGGGCUCCAGUGGGGAAUUUUGGACAAUGGGCGCAAGCCUGAUCCAGCCAUUCCGCGUGAGUGAAGAAGGCCUUCGGGUUGUAAAGCUCUUUCGCAAGGGAAGAAAACUUAUCCUCUAACAUAGGGUGAGGUUGACGGUACCUUGAUAAGAAGCACCGGCUAAAUACGUGCCAGCAGCCGCGGUAAUACGUAGGGUGCGAGCGUUAAUCGGAAUUACUGGGCGUAAAGCGUGCGCAGGCUGUUUUGUAAGUCAGAUGUGAAAUCCCCGAGCUCAACUUGGGAACUGCGUUUGAAACUACAAGACUAGAAUAUGUCAGAGGGGGGUAGAAGUCCAUGUGUAGCAGUGAAAUGCGUAGAGAUGUGGAGGAAUACCAAUGGCGAAGGCAGCCCCCUGGGAUAAUAUUGACGCUCAUGCACGAAAGCGUGGGGAGCAAACAGGAUUAGAUACCCUGGUAGUC
rnacentral:rRNA from 1 species